AACGAACGCUGGCGGCAUGCCUAACACAUGCAAGUCGAACGAGACCUUCGGGUCUAGUGGCGCACGGGUGCGUAACGCGUGGGAAUCUACCCUCAGGUUCGGAAUAACUCAGAGAAAUUUGAGCUAAUACCGGAUGAUGACGUAAGUCCAAAGAUUUAUCGCCUGAGGAUGAGCCCGCGUAGGAUUAGGUAGUUGGUGAGGUAAAGGCUCACCAAGCCGACGAUCCUUAGCUGGUCUGAGAGGAUGAUCAGCCACACUGGGACUGAGACACGGCCCAGACUCCUACGGGAGGCAGCAGUGGGGAAUAUUGGACAAUGGGCGAAAGCCUGAUCCAGCAAUGCCGGGUGAGUGAUGAAGGCCUUAGGGUUGUAAAGCUCUUUUACCCGGGAUGAUAAUGACAGUACCGGGAGAAUAAGCUCCGGCUAACUCCGUG
rnacentral:rRNA from 1 species